rnacentral:rRNA from 1 species
AUGAACGCUAGCUACAGGCUUAACACAUGCAAGUCGAGGGGCAUCAGGAAGAAAGCUUGCUUUCUUUGCUGGCGACCGGCGCACGGGUGAGUAACACGUAUCCAACCUGCCCUUUACUCGGGGAUAGCCUUUCGAAAGAAAGAUUAAUACCCGAUGGCAUAAUGAUUCCGCAUGGUUUCAUUAUUAAAGGAUUCCGGUAAAGGAUGGGGAUGCGUUCCAUUAGGUUGUUGGUGAGGUAACGGCUCACCAAGCCUUCGAUGGAUAGGGGUUCUGAGAGGAAGGUCCCCCACAUUGGAACUGAGACACGGUCCAAACUCCUACGGGAGGCAGCAGUGAGGAAUAUUGGUCAAUGGGCGCUAGCCUGAACCAGCCAAGUAGCGUGAAGGAUGAAGGCUCUAUGGGUCGUAAACUUCUUUUAUAUAAGAAUAAAGUGCAGUAUGUAUACUGUUUUGUAUGUAUUAUAUGAAUAAGGAUCGGCUAACUCCGUGCCAGCAGCCGCGGUAAUACGGAGGAUCCGAGCGUUAUCCGGAUUUAUUGGGUUUAAAGGGAGCGUAGGUGGACUGGUAAGUCAGUUGUGAAAGUUUGCGGCUCAACCGUAAAAUUGCAGUUGAUACUGUCAGUCUUGAGUACAGUAGAGGUGGGCGGAAUUCGUGGUGUAGCGGUGAAAUGCUUAGAUAUCACGAAGAACUCCGAUUGCGAAGGCAGCUCACUGGACUGCAACUGACACUGAUGCUCGAAAGUGUGGGUAUCAAACAGGAUUAGAGACCCUGGUAGUCCACACAGUAAACGAUGAAUACUCGCUGUUUGCGAUAUACAGUAAGCGGCCAAGCGAAAGCAUUAAGUAUUCCACCUGGGGAGUACGCCGGCAACGGUGAAACUCAAAGGAAUUGACGGGGGCCCGCACAAGCGGAGGAACAUGUGGUUUAAUUCGAUGAUACGCGAGGAACCUUACCCGGGCUUAAAUUGCAGUGGAAUGAUGUGGAAACAUGUCAGUGAGCAAUCACCGCUGUGAAGGUGCUGCAUGGUUGUCGUCAGCUCGUGCCGUGAGGUGUCGGCUUAAGUGCCAUAACGAGCGCAACCCUUAUCUUUAGUUACUAACAGGUCAUGCUGAGGACUCUAGAGAGACUGCCGUCGUAAGAUGUGAGGAAGGUGGGGAUGACGUCAAAUCAGCACGGCCCUUACGUCCGGGGCUACACACGUGUUACAAUGGGGGGUACAGAAGGCAGCUAGCGGGUGACCGUAUGCUAAUCCCAAAAUCCUCUCUCAGUUCGGAUCGAAGUCUGCAACCCGACUUCGUGAAGCUGGAUUCGCUAGUAAUCGCGCAUCAGCCACGGCGCGGUGAAUACGUUCCCGGGCCUUGUACACACCGCCCGUCAAGCCAUGGGAGCCGGGGGUACCUGAAGUACGUAACCGCAAGGAUCGUCCUAGGGUAAAACUGGUGACUGGGGCU